rnacentral:tRNA from 1 species
AGCCUUAAGGUGAUAAUCAUGUUGAAUUGCAAAUUCAAAGGUGUAGAGAAACUUUCUACUAAGGCUU